AAUUGGACCUGAAUUCUUAAACUGGAAAAUUAUUAAAAUAAAUCCACCUUAUUUAAAAACUUUAAAUGAGAGAAGAUGUUUAAGUUUGUGUUUGGUUCAAGUUUCAUGAGGGGAGGAUAGCAAAAUCCCCCUUUCAGUUGAUUUUGUUUUCCCUCCAUUUUGGAGGAAUUUGGAGGGAAGGAGAUGGACUCAAUAUAACUAAAAAACCAUUUAAAACUCCUCCCCUCCCUUUGAACCAAGCACAAAACCAUUAAAAAUCCCUCCCCUCCUUUGAACCAAACAUGUCCCCCUCCUUUGAACCAAACAUGUCCCUAUUUCCCUCCCCUGUGUUGAACAAGACAGUUAAAUUUUAAUUAUUUAUGUAAUUGUAACGGUACCAAAAAUUUCACAUAUAGCUCAACCUUAGAAGAAAAUAACAAUUAAAAAACAUCUCAAACUGUCAAAUACAUAAACAUCACUAAACUAAAAUAUAGUAGUAUCUUAAUAGCAAGUGAAAGGGUAGUAAACCCUGCAACAUUAUCAUGUAAUGAAAUUACACACGAAUGAACAACAGAGCAUACACAUUAAUCCAGCUACAUCCAUCACGUGACAUAAAUAGAAUCAGAGGAGGAACACAAUUUGAAUUGAUGAUAGAUAUUAUCCACCUUAAAAUGUCACUCGGUUCUAAUAUUUCAAGGCAAAAUAACCCGUCCCUUCACUUAAUUUCAAAUAACAAUAUUUAGUCAUUUAUCUUUUUUUUCCCCAAUUUUAUCUAUAUAUAAUUUUAAGUAACAAUUUAAUCUUUUAUGUCUUCAAAUGUCAACAACAUUGUCCUUUUAACAUAAAUCUAAAAAAUCCAUCAUGAUCUUAAAAAAAAACUCAGAAAAUUAGUGAUCAUAGUCAACACAAUCCAUAUUUUUAUCAAAUUCAUAACUCAAAUCUUCAAAUAAACUCAUAUUUCUAUCUCCAACAAAAACAAUAACAAACCCAUCAAAUAUAGAACUCACAAUUUAAAAUUUAGCUUAGGGAUUUGAUUUGGAGAAAGAUAAAAAGAAGAAGAUAUUGUCUUGGUGAUUUGGAAAUCAAAUCUUGAACUGUGACUUCUUUAUUUGAUAGAUUUGAUGUUAUUGUUGUUGGAGAUAAUGAUAUGAGUUUAUUUGAAUAUUUGAGUAAAUAAAUAUAUGAAUUUUCUUUUGAAAUUGAUAAUGAAAUUUCUGACUUUGUUUGAAAAUGACCAUAUAUUUUCUGAGUUUAGGUAAAAAAUGAUAACAUUUACGGUUACUUAAUAUUAAAUAAACGGUGAAAUCGAAUAAAAAAUAAAUAAAGUAACUGAAAUUAAGUUAAAUGACUUCGAAGCUAUUUUGCCUAUUUAAAAAUGGUAAGCAUCGACAUUACCUGGUGGAAGGCUUGAACUCGCAUGAAAGUUGUAAAUGAAGAACUCUGGUUUUGAAAGCUGACGGAAACACCUUCAAAGCAAGCUAAAAACAUUUGAAAGCAAAUACAAGCCAGAUUUAUUGAAAUAUAAAGAAAGGGGGGGAUUUCAUGACUUGUGCGUUUCACAAAUCGCAAGUUACGCAGUCGUGGAGAUUCGAUAUAAAGACCAAGAAUUCGAUAGAUAAUUUGAGAUCUAGGGCAAGUAGAGCUUCGAUUUGGGUGGGAUCUAAGGGGUUCGUAGAAAAAAUAAUGGGUAGAGAAAGAUGUAGAUCGUCUCCAUUUCCACUAGAAAUCAACAUCUCCUUUUACUUCUAUCUUCAUCCGACACAUGCCAAUUAGUUAUUUCAACGGUUCAGAUUCAGAAAGGCAGAGAAUAUCGUUGAGUACACUAAAAUGCAAAAAAAACUAUUUUUUCUUUUUUAUUAUUGUGGACGUUUGAUAUUUUAUUUAUUGGGUACGUUUGAAAUUUUAGGGUGUUGGGUUCAAGCCAGAUCAUCUCCAUUUAUUAAGAUUGAGUUUUUUUUUCUUUGAGAGUUUAUAUGAAGUCAUCUUGUUCUUUUUAUUGAGAAUUCUAUCUA
rnacentral:lncRNA from 1 species